rnacentral:rRNA from 1 species
AUGGUGGUAAACGGGUAACGGGGUGUUAGGGCACGACACCGGGAGAGGGAGCCUGAGAAAACGGGCUACCCACAUCCCAAGGAUGGCAGCAGGGCGCGCAAAAUUACCCAAUCCCGACACGGGGAGGUAGUGACAAUAAAUAACAAUACGGGGGUUCUUUUGGGAUUUCGUAAAUNGAAUGAGUACCAAUUAAAUUUUCUAANGGAGGACCAAUGGAAGGCCAAGUCUGGGCCCAGCAGCCGCGGAAAUCCCAGUUCCAAUAGNGAUAAUAAAAGUUGUGCCAGUUAAAAAGUUGGUAGUGAAAUUUCGGAUUGGGGGUUCGGGUGGGCCUUUGGUACGUACUGGUAUUAUCGGUUUCUCCCUUCUGACGAACCAUAAUGCCAUUAAUUUGGUGUUAUGGGGAAUUAGGACUGUUACCUUGAAAAAAUUAGAGUGUUUAAAGCAGGCAUUAGCUUGAAUACAUUAGCAUGGAAUAAUGAAAUAGGACAUCAGAUUUUAUUUUGUUGGUUUCUAGGAUCGAUGUAAUGAUUAAUAGGGAUAGUUGGGGGCAUUAGUAUUCAAUUGUCAGAGGUGAAAUUCUUGGAUUUAUUGAAGACUAACUACUGCGAAAGCAUUUGCCAAGGAUGUUUUCAUUAAUCAAGAACGAAAGUUAGGGGAUCGAAGACGAUCAGAUACCGUCGUAGUCUUAACCAUAAACUAUGCCGA